rnacentral:rRNA from 1 species
GUGUCAGCAGCCGCGGUAAUACGGAGGGAGCAAGCGUUACUCGGAAUUAUUGGGCGUAAAGGGCGCGUAGGCGAUCUGACAAGUCUGGUGUGAAAGCCCACAUGUUAACUGUGGAAGUGCAUUAGAAACUGUUGGAUUUGAGUUCAGGAGAGGAAGGCAGAAUUCCCGGUGUAGCGGUGAAAUGCGUAGAGAUCGGGAGGAAUACCAGUGGCGAAGGCGGCCUUCUGGACUGACACUGACGCUGAGGCGCGAAAGCCAGGGGAGCAAACGGGAUUAGAUACCCCGGUAGUCC